rnacentral:misc_RNA from 1 species
UGGUUAGAGCGCGCGCUUGAUAAGCGUGAGGUCGGAGGUUCAAGUCCUCCCAGGCCCACCAGUUUAUCCAUUACUUUCAUAAGUGCUUUUAAAAAAUAAGUACUUCUAAAAAGAUUGCUUCUAAAAAGAUUGCUUCUAAAAAGAUUGCUUCUAAAAAGCUUAUCAAAAUUGGCAGGCUUAUUGCUUUUGUGUGAGUAAUCCAAAGUUAAAGCAAAUUAAUGGCAAAAAAACAGUUCAAAUGCUAAAUACUAAGGAGUCAAAAUUCCUUGCAAAGUGAUUUUUACAGCGUCCAUUUGGUUGAUAUAAAUUCCAAAUGCUCAUAGACGUCAAUGCCUAUAUGAAACUAUCGGUUCAAUCAUAUCGCUUUGAGUUAUAUAGAUUUUGUAAUCCCUCUUUUGAUCGUUUUAAACGCUUUAUCCUGAUUUAGGGGCCGUAGCUCAGCUGGGAGAGCACCUGCUUUGCAAGCAGGG